CUAGAUGGUGUAGAUCGAUGUGGAUGACGGGCAGUGCAGGGAGGCAGAGAGAGGAGAGAGAAGAGAAGGGGGUGGGGGGAGAAAACACAAGGAGAAAGCUUGAUUAGUGUGCGAGUUCAACACUUGUAACCUCUCCUACAGCGAGUUAAUCUGCUCUCUCUUGUUCGGCUCAAACAGGUUGAUGCCAAGAGUACGCCUUAACAAAUCCACCGUGCACUCCUGAGGGUGAAACGCUCUCUCCUCUGCUUUUUCUCAUUCGCCUCCUUUUCGCAGGUUCCCCUUCUUGACAGAGAAGAGGCCGUAUUCAGGUCUUCCCUUUUUGAUUCCUUCAGUGCUACACUUCUCACGUUGCUAUUCUCUCCUCUUCCUCUUUGCUUUCCUCUUACCUUCAAUUACCCUACACCCAUUUCACCCUCUCAUUUUCUCCUCUAAUCUUCUACAGGACUUCUCCGCUUAUAGCCCCUUCUUCUCUUCGAGCUUUUCAGUCUCCCAUUUUCUGCUCUCUUACCACUCGUACCAAACCGACAGACACACCCCCCAUGGGAAGCCAGGAACUGGUGAAAACCCCAAUUAGAAGCAGUGAAACCAGCAGGUGGGCCAUCUUGCAACUGCUCCACUUGACAAAGGUGACCAUUCACUACACAUUACAUCAUUUUAUUUCCUCCCUUUCCUGUCUGCAGCCUUACAAGGGUACACACUCACUCCUCCUCGUACUACCCCUUGGGGAAAAGACAUCAGAAAGCUAGAGGCGCGGGUCAAAUAUGAAGGUGGAUUGGGAAUGGGCUGGAUGGAAAGCUGUGCAUGGAGCUAAAAAUCCUGAGGUGGUAACCAAGAGAAAUAAAAUUCUGGAAUUACCCCACAUAGCACGUUCCAUCCUAUUAUAAAGAGGAUGUUGCUACAUGCCCAAAGCAGCAGAGUGAGGUUAUCUGCACUAUAGCAAUGUCAUUAUUCCCAGCUUUUAGUGGUAACCUGAUUUCAGAAACAUAUUAGCUGGAAGACAUUUCCUCUUCUGUUUUUUCCCCCUUUUUUUGGGUCAAGUAAUUAAGGGAAACCGAUCAAGUGAAGUACUCUGGCUACAUAUUAGAGCUAUUUGAGAAAUUCAAACAUCCACUUGAGCACAAGAAAAAAAAAGGUUCAGUCUGUAAUGUUCUGAGUUCACGAGUCAGUGUGCAAAUACCACAAAUUCCAAGUGUAUAAUAUUCAGCCACUCUGGUCAAUUGUAUGUUUUGCUGCAAGAUUAUUAUAUAUAUUAUCAUCAAAGCUCCUGGCAGACCACCAAGCAAUUCUAAUUUAUCCUCUGGGGAGCAUAAAUAUCAAAUGUUUUACAGUGGCAGGAGAAACCGGAGCGUCUGGAGAAAACCUGCGCAAGCAUGGCUGCACUAUGCAAACUCAAAGUGGAAGGGUGCUGCAUGGCUUUGAACCCAGCCAAAGCAGUGCAAAAAUAUAUUUGCUUAAAUCUUACAGUACCAACUGUUCAUGAAGCAAGGGAUUUAAUACAGUUGCGAAACAAAAACUGCGCUUAAGGAUCCACGGGGUUAAAGUGGCAGCAGCUUAAUGUAAACUGUGGUUUUCGAGCAAUCACACUAAAUAAGCAUAUGCUGAUUAUAAGACAACAGAUUCCUAACUGCUUUUGAUAACAGUCCACGGGCAUUUCAACAAGAUAAACAGAUGGGUGCAACAAUAGCAGAGCGGCAUAUUAGUUUAGUACUCUGAUCUAACACAGUGCAGACAUUGUCUCUUUUUUGUCAUAAGCAAUGUACCAGAUUUCCUGUGAAACAGAGUCUGAUGAUGAUGGGAAACGCAGAGUUGAAACUCGUAUGCAAAACUUCAUUUGUGUAAGAUUUCCCUUUGUUUUUUAACCAAGUGUGACAAUAAUUGUGGUUUUAUUUGACAGGUUUUAAAGUGGCAAGAGAGAUGCAUCACCGCUCCGACUUAUUCUCAACCACACCCACACGCACUCCUAAACAGUGGCUCAAGGAACCACUCGCUCCUUACUGUAAAUAUUUCUUGAAUGUUUUUUGGGCCGCUGGUUCUGGCAUGACAAGCUUUUUUCUGAUGAGCCCUAAGCCUACCAAUUACUGUAAGUUGAGGACACUUAACGGCAGCCUAUGGCCUGAAAGUCCCUUUUAAGUCAGCCAGGCAGCCGUUCAGUCAGACAUUCAGUCAGCUGUUCAUACAGCCUGCGGCGACGGGAAAAUUUCCUGCGGUUAAAACAGGAAGAAAGAAAGAAAGUCAGCUUGCUGAGGAGGCUAACGUGGCCUCAUGUGGCUUACGACAAACCCAUCAGAAAACAGGCAACAGGGCAUGACAGAGAAGACAGCACUUUUAGUUGCUGCCACACAGCAGGAGUGUAUGUGUACAUUUAAACCCAGUGCACUUCGGCUUCUGUAUGCAAAAACUGUUGGUACAGUGCUGGGCAAGCAGCCAAUCAAAAGCUGGGGAUGACUUUGCACUUAAAGCCAGGGGGGAAAUUAUGUGUAAAAAUAUAAUAAGUGGGUCUAAUUUGCAGUCAACUCUCAAACUAUGAGAAUUUGCUAGUUUCUGCUUUGUAUCAUUGUAAUUACAAUAUCUUUGUGGUUUGCAGAGUUGGUUAAAAAGAAAUAACCAAUUUAAAGAUACCUGAGGGUGGUUUUUUAGGCCUUUGGAAAAUGCUAAAGAGUAGCAGACACAGGGAUAAUUAAAAUUAAUCUCAUUUACAGUGUUUUUACUGGACUCUUUCUAGUUCUGUGAAAAAACACGCACUCUUAAUUAAGAAUAUAAGUACCAAACAAGUGCUGCGAAUCAAAUGGACUUGAUUAAGUGAUCAUCAGCAAGUGUGAGCACUUCUAUAAAAGCAGGUGUGUGUUAGCACAAUGACAAUCUUUCCAGCAGAGUUCCCGGCACAAAAGCCCAAAAGUUGAUGUUAAAAGCUAAAGUUAAUGAAAGCCCAAUUAGAACAAGUAUGCUUAGGUUUGCAAAGCCUCAUUUGAACAAAAACAACAAGAAUGUCCUUUGGAGAGAUUUGGCCAUCAUGCACAGCUCCGUGUUUGGCAAAAAACAAACACAGCAUAUCACCACAAACACCUCGUACCAGCUGUCAACCACAGGGGUGAUGAUUUGGGCUCGUUUUGCAGCCACAGGACCUGAGCACCUUGAGGUCAUUGAGUCAACCAUGAACCCUCAGUAUACUAAAAUAUUCUAGAGCCAAAUGGAAGGCUGACUAAAGCUUGACUGACACUGGGUCACACAACAGGACAACGAUGCCAAACAAAAGCAGCAGAAAAUGUACAAUGACCUGGCUGAGGCGUUGCAAAGGUCCAGUCAAAGCUCAGACCUCAAACCUAUUAAAAUACUGUGGACAUUAAGAGAGCUGUGCAUGAACGAAUGCCUGAAAAUCUCAAUAAACUAAGGCAAUGUUGGCAAUGUGAAAGACUGAUAGUCAUACAGAAAACAAUUAAAGUGAUUUCUGCUAAAAGUGGUUCAACAGACGACUGAAUCAUGGGAUGUUUUUUUCCCCCAAUCUGCACAUUAGUUUUUCUUUCAGACUGUGCAUUAAGGAGAAAGAUUAGCUGAUUAAUAAAAAAAUGUAUCUACAUAUUAAUGAGCAGUUUAGGGCUGAAAUUAACAGUUAUUAGCAGAUUUGUUUUACCUCAACUGAUUGAUGUAUAUCUGGUCUAAUGUCUACACAGACUCAGGUUUAAUAGAAAUCUCAUUUGAGAAAUUCAACCAUAAAACAUGUUCUUAUAAAUGAUUAAUCAUCCAUCAAAGUGGUUGCCCAUUACAUUUUUUUGCUAAAUUGCGUCUUCUGUUUCUUCUGUUUUGUUAAGCUCCAACAUCCAGACAUGAAGUUUUACUGCCUGCAUGGUCGAAAUUUGGAAUUAAUUUCUGGUCAGCUGACCGCCCAACAUCUGGCUAGAAGGCCACUUGCCUGACAAAUCACACGACUGGCAUCUCCCUUCUGGCGAAGCACCAAACUUAGGACAAAUUGCACAUUAUUCCCACUGAGACAAAAAUUGCACACAAGUGGAGCAGCCUCCUGGAUUAGGCUUCCCAUAAAUCUUUGCAGAGCCGGGAACAGCUGCACCGAAUACUGAAGGCUGAACGGCAACGCUCUCCUUCCCCUUUAAGGCUUUGUUAAAUGCCACAGCGCGCAUUGUAGGAAAUUCAUGGCCACUAAAUAUCAAGCAAGCUUGUGUCAAUUAACAUGCAGGGAAUAAAUUAGACGGAAGAGAGCCUAAAGCAGCCCUAAUGGGAUCCGUAAUAGUCUUGCUCUUUUUAAACAUGCACACGCGGUGUUUAUUAGGCUCUUUGGUCGUAAGUUAAGGCGGAGGUAAAGAGGUGAACUAGUCGCUCCAGCAAAUCACCUCAAGUGUCCUGAAGGGGAAUAUAUGCAGCACCUAAAAUUCAUGUUGGUGUAAAGCAAAACAAAAAAGAAUAUGAUUUGAAAACAAAUAAAGGGCAGAGUGCUUACUGGAAAGGUUACACAGUUAUCACUGAGGUUUCCAACCAGUUUUUGUCAGAGCGCGUGAGGCAGAGAAAGGUUGAUAGUUGUCAGGUCCAGGCACAGCCCACACCCCCCUCAGGUGUUUUGACAUUUUAAGUGAAUUUAAGCGCGGCAGUCUUCUGCUGCAACCCUACACCACAGCGGUCUCCAUGCCGACAGCAGCACCAGCAGUUGUCUCCCAGAACCAGCCCUGACAUUUUGUCUUCUUCUCGGCAUGAAGAGAGGGGUCACUUAGGGAGUUCCGCGGAGAGAUGGCAAGCUGCUAUAAAAACAUCAAGCGGCAGCAGCAGACAAACUGUCGUCAGAAGGAGGAGCGCUUCCACCCCAACGAGAAAGGAAUUGGGAGGAAAUCAAAGCUUUACCUUAGCAGGGGCAAGAGACAGUACCACCACGACCACCUCUGUGUGUGUGUGUGUGUGUCUUUGUCUUCUCUGUUUAGCUGUCAGUCCUCAAACACCCAGAGAGGGAGAGGCUGGCUGAUGUUUUCAAAGCACUGCCUUGUGUGCAUUAAGCUGUCGGAGAUGACCUGACCUGGAUAGAGGAAGCGGUGAAUAAAUAAAUAAGUCUUCCACAUUCACAGAGCCCUCGUACCUCUGUGUGUGUGUGUUUGUGUGUGAGAGACAGAUGAUUAUCAGUGCAAAUAUCUUUGAUUGAUACACAAGUGGGAGUAUGCUAGUCAGGUCAAGAUCGAUAUACAAAUAAGGUAAAAAACCCAUCCAAACAAACCAAAUGUGCGUGUUCCUUCACAUACAUGCUCAGUGUGUCUAUAGUUGCUUAAUGCGUGUGUAUGCGUGUGUGUUUAGUGCUGCUACGGGGCUUGAGGGCUGAUAUUAAUGAAGCAUUUCUCUCUGCGGAGCUCUGUCAGUACAACAAGCCCCUAACGUGAUUAAUAACUGCCUUGCUUCCCUUGUGUGUAUGAGCAUGUGUGUAUUUUUGUGUGCACGCACAGCAUAUGAUGCAAUUACGUAUGUGUUUUGUGAGAGCUUAUUAGAGCCCGCCUGAUGCAUUGAUCACACUGAUAUCACACGCCAAUUUCAUCAUGUUGAUGUAUUUGCUCAGGCAAAACACUACUUCAUUUAAUUUCAAUUAUUAGACAGUACCGUUCAUCUUUUUGAACUAGUUCUGCAGUGUGCAUUAUUUGAUGUUUGGGUCUUUUUUGUUUUCCUUUAGGGAUGUACAAACUUUUCUUUUCAUCUUUUGUUACCAAUUAUAUAUCCCGACCCAUUCGACACCACUUUCUUCCUAAUUUACUACACAGGGAAAAUUAGGGAAGAGGUUCCUAUGACACUGACACAGAAAUGAGCUCAUCCCCAAUCUGCCUAUUAGUCUGAGUAUUGAGUCUGGUAUCGACCUCUCCUGUUUUCCGCAUGUCAGCAUUAGUGUUUGUGUUAUAUUUGAUUUUCAGAUGGAAACUACAUUGUGUAAAAUUUUCACCGUCAGAAAUCAAUAGAUUGCAAAUUACAGUCAACUGAAUUGUGUUUUCUUACCGCGGCGUUUUCCCCGAAUUGUGGGGGGCUGUUAGCGCACUGUUUACCUCAGCUGUCAAUGUCAGGUGACGAGCGUUCGCCUCCACUCUGAAAGAAGCUGUAAAUCUUUGUGACACAAGUCUGAUACAAAUCGAGUGGUGAAGCUCACUUCUGUCCGGCGACAGCAACACUGAUGAGAGUUGUUGAGGAACUUUGCUAUGCUGAACUUUCCUGUUGGUAAGUGCUGCUGUUAGCCUCUGUUAGCUGCUGUUAGCCUCUGUUAGCUGCUGUUAGCAUCUGUUAGCUGCUGUUAGCCAGCAUUAGCAAAACUGUCCUUAAAGUGCAUGUAACAUUUUUGGGCUCUGAAGGUUAGUAAAUAAACUCUUACACAAUGCGAGAAGGCUUCUGUUUAUCAAACAGCUUCAAAUUGUUUAUCAGAACGAAAGUGAACACUCGAGCCCAACAUUAGCCGGCAUAAUGUUAGCUUCAAACCAGCUGUUGUUAUUGUUGUUUAAGUGGUGUCUAUCCAGAGACGGGAGGGUUGCAUGUCUAACCUGCUAACUAUAACUAACUGUAACAAUAUCAGGAACAAAUAAACAUGUUAAUGCACAUUUUUGUGUGUUAGAGCCCAGAUCUCAGUUCAGGAGAUGAGGCUGGAGGUGAGGUUGGAAAAGGACGACAUUUUAUUAUGAUGCUGCUGGCGUUGUCUUGUUCCUUAGAGUUGAUGAUAAAACAAAGGUAUGAGCCUUCAUAUCUUGAGUCUGAAGGUGCAGACAUGAAUGUAAAUGUCCCUCCACAGCAUGCUAACACCUACAACUUGUCUCCUCUGCCUUUGUGUGCUACAUAGGUGGUCAGUCUCUAAACAUACACAUAAAACACGAUCAGUUGGAAGGGAGAUUUCCUGCCUAGCUACUAUAGACUAGGCGUCCACUUCUAUGUAUUUUUUAUAGAUUAAAUGUAAGUUUAUGAAAAAAUUGCAUCAGUUUGUUGAAAGAUCUAAUUACACACUAAUCACCUCAUAUUUAUAAGAAAAACAUUCUUUUUUCUAUUAAAUAACCUUAAGCUCAGGCUAACUGAAAGCCCAUAUGACAACUUGGUCACUGACUCUGUUGCACAGGUAACCCUGCUUCACAUUUACUGACCACAUCACACCUCAAUCACCAGAAUCUAUUGCUCCCAUUGGUUGCAGCGUCAAUCAUUCUUCUUAAGUAGUUUAACUUACUGCCCAUUUACUUCCUAUAGUUCCCUUUAUACUCACAGGACUUCUCUGUCAUCAAUACCAGAUUUUAAAUUCAAAUAUCAAUUAAUUCAAAAAUCCAGCAUUUGUUCUUGGGCUCUUGCUAUUGUGUGCAUGUGUUUCCUCUUUGUUGCAUGAGUGAAUGUGCCUGCAGAGGCUUAUGGAAAAGCUCAAGUCAACAUUAAUGAAAGGGAGUACAUUACAGUAGCUCUUCCUGUUUAUGGCUCUAUACUCUGCCAGCCACUGUGAUUCUUCUCCUCCUGCCUGUCUAAUAAGCUUUGUAUCGGUGUUGUCUUUCUCUACAGGACGCCAGUACGCUUAAAGCUUCCGGCUGUAAUGAGCCAAAUGGUUUAAUGUGACCACAAAGCAAUGCUACAAUGCUAAACACAUCUAUUUCGCAUGACAAGCAUGACAAGGCACUGUGAGAUUUGCAAAAUGUCUUUGCCGCCAAAAGACGGCUGGAAACGUUGGUGUAUGUGAGUGCCCGCAUUAUCUCCAAAGCUUCUUGCAGCCCUGCUUAGCAAGGUGCUCAUCAUUCAUCUUCAUUGCCCAAGGUGCCAGUGUGUGUGAGUGUGUGUGUUAAGACAGAUUUAAUGAGGGGAAGAAGGACACGAGAUUCACAAAAGGUGGACUUCUGACUGUUUAUUACAGCCUGCGUCGCCUUGCCUUAUGAUGAGGAUGAAUUUCAUUCUUUCUCACAACUUCUGUCUCCUCAACACUCCCGUCUCUCCUCUCUCCUUUCCUUCUGAAAUUAGAUGUUCUACAUGCCCGGUUUGCAAGACGCUAUCUGUUAAACUUAAUUCAUCCCUCACCCGUAUGCCUCUGCAUUAAGUCUCUCUGACAUGAAAUGCCUCGCUGAGCUAUCCA